UACAAUGGAGAGUUUGAUCCUGGCUCAGGAUGAACGCUAGCGGGAGGCCUAACACAUGCAAGCCGAGCGGUAGAGAUUCUUCGGAAUCUUGAGAGCGGCGUACGGGUGCGGAACACGUGUGCAACCUGCCUUUAUCAAGGGGAUAGCCUUUCGAAAGGAAGAUUAAUACCCUAUAAUAUAUGAUUCGGCAUCGGAUUAUAUUGAAAACUACGGUGGAU
rnacentral:rRNA from 1 species